rnacentral:rRNA from 1 species
UACGGAGGGAGCUAGCGUUGUUCGGAAUUACUGGGCGUAAAGCGCGCGUAGGCGGCUUUGUAAGUUAGCGGUGAAAGCCCGGGGCUCAACCCCGGAACUGCCUUUAAGACUGCAUCGCUUGAAUCCGGGAGAGGUGAGUGGAAUUCCGAGUGUAGAGGUGAAAUUCGUAGAUAUUCGGAAGAACACCAGUGGCGAAGGCGGCUCACUGGACCGGUAUUGACGCUGAUGUGCGAAAGCGUGGGGAGCAAACAGG